UAUCGGUCCCCCCGCAACGAUAAGCUGUGAACCCGGUCAGGCCCGGAAGGGAGCAGCCGCAGCAGUGGUUUCGUGUGCCGGGGUGCGGCUGGUGCGG
rnacentral:SRP_RNA from 9 species